UAUUAAUCAUGAUGCUAGAGUGAAAUACUCACCUGGGGCUGAUCCAGUCAUGCAUCUUUAUGAUAAUGAAGGCAACGAAGUCAAGAAAGUAGAUGUUGCUGAGAUGAGCAGAGGUGAUAUUGCAAACCUAUUAGAGUCACAUGGUUUGAAAAAGUCUGACUCAAAAAUGAAAGAGGAAGACCAAUCAGAGGAAGAAGAAGAAGAGCCAAUGCCUGAAGAUGAAAAUCCAGAUGGCGAGUUUCCUGACGAAGAAGAUGAUGAGAUGCCGGAGGUUCCAGAGGAUCGUAGUGCAGAGAAGGAAGAGUUAUAAGAAUUUUCUCUCCAUCCACAUUGUCUGAAUAGUUUUCUAGAAAAUAUUCAAUUGAGUCACAAACUGGUAUAUAGGGCCAAGUGUACAUCUUGUUUCGUAAUCCCAAAUACUACUUCUUUCAUACUCUAGUGCUCUCUAUCACUCUCAAUAGCAUUACAUUGUAGAUGCACAAGUAGCCACAGGUUUUGUCACAGCCAGACUUUGUUUCUUCAUCAGAGCCAUCAUCUAUCAUGAUAAACAUGUCCUAACUUAAAACGUCUUCACUAUCUUAGUAUUAGGCCCUCUGAUCAAUAAUUCAAUUCUUGGAAAAGGAUUUUAGAAAAAGAUAUUUGUUCAAAGUUUAUCUAAAAAGUGACUGAUUUUCUAUCACAUCAAUAAAGAAAGGAUUGGGUGUUACUGCAAUUAUGUUUUUGUAGUAAAUCACUGUUUUUAUUAUUAUAUAACUAGGAGGGUUCUGUUAAACAUUACCUGUCUAUUUACUGCUAAUUCUGGCUGUGAUGAGGCACUGUGAGUCAGUGCAAACCAAUUUUUUUUUAAUGUUUGUUAUAAACUUAGUAACAUGUACACAAUUUGCUAUGCAAAAUUAAUAUUCAAAAAGUAGACCCUGCUGCUUUAUUAUAUAUAUUAAUUAUUAUUACACCAAUAUUGCUGAAUUGGUUUAUGUGAAUUGAAGGCUGAUGUAAUGACGUGGGAAUGGUAAACCAAUCUUCCGUACUCACUGAUGUAAAUUCAAUCUAAAUUCAUUGUAAAACUACACAAAGCUUACCAAGACAGGAUGACACAAUCAUUGUAAACACUGUAAAAACAAUGGUUGCUGAUGAAAUAAUAGUUUCUGGUAUCUUUGGGAGAAAAUGUAAUGAAGCAAUAAUAAAAGUACUUUGCAGCAA